UAUUUAUAAUUUGAAUGUCUUUUCGAUUGCACUGUUUUAAAUCAUCAGUCUCAAUUGUAGUUUGUGUUCCGUCAAAUGCUUUUAAUGUGAAUAAAUGUUAUUCUAAACAUUAUAAUGCUUGUUUACUAUCUAAAUGAUAAUUUCAAUUUUAUCUAUUAAUUAUCAAAAUGGAUAUGACAUUUAUUUUCCAUUUUAUAAAACAUUUUUUUAGAUCAUAUUUAUUUAUAUUAUACUCAUAGAUGCAAAACUUGUUUUUGAUAAAUUAGUUAUUUAUAUUUACGCUUUUAAUAUAUAAUAAGAUAAAAUUUAGUUAAAGUAUGUGUGAACUUUUAAAAUUGAUAUAGUUUUAGACUGUUUUUUUACAGUGAAAUGAAUCAUAAUUUUUGUGUUUUAUAAAUAUUUAAUAGAUACAUA